AGUAGCGUUAGGCACCAUAUAGAGUAUACCAAGCAGUUAUUCAGCAGUAGCAUAUCCGCAACACUUAAGGUAGUCAUAUGACCAUAGGUAGGGGAGGGAUAAAACUAGCUCACCAGGGUGCCACGACGAGGCAACGGCGUUGAGGUUAAUGUAGCAGAAUGGUAGCAUCAACAUCAGCAACAGCCGACAGGAGAUGACGCCAGGGUUGCAUUGCAGCACUGUUCCGCUGGCGUUGGCGAGGAGUUCAACCUCACCAGCAGCACCAACACCACCACAUAACACCAUCACAACCACAGCAACGCCAUUAAAAUGUCACC